CUCUCUCAAUAUCUGUAUGGUCCUUAACCAUAUAUCCGAUACCAUAUAACCGAAAAUAAAAUGUGUUGAGUGCGUCGUUAAAUAAAACAUUUCCUUCCUUAAUCUGCUGUGUAAGAUUUGAUGAGUGAUUGAGAUACAUGUCAGGGCUUCUAGAUUAUGGUAGCCCCAUGCAAUUCCAUGGCUAGUGAUAGUCAAUGUUGGGCUAAUAAAUAACUACUAUCAUCAUGCCUGACGGCUAGUAAAAAAUAAAGUUGUAAAAUGCUGCCCCAUCUACCUUCCCAAAUCAAAUGGCUUUUAAGCUCUAUCUCCCUCUUUGGGUGUUCUGUAUACCUUUCAAAAUAUAGACUCGUCUGUUUCCUUGCAUCCAGAUCACUUAGGAUGUGGUGAUGAUGAAAUAAUGGAAUAAAAAUGCGUCUGGAAUGUGUUUUUGAAAAUAAACUGGGACGUUUUUAUUAUCACUUGUGGUGAUGAGUAUAGGCAUCCAAGUCUGCUUACCAUACGCAUGGACGCAUCUUAACGCGACCCCUGGAGGUAUACAAGGUUCAGAUGCCGACACUGAAGUGUUUUGCUGUGCUGUGUUAUGAAAAUGAGAACAUUGCAGCACAAAUUUCAACAGUUAAUAUUUCAGCUACCUACAACGGGG